CUGCUGGGUUUUGCACUCAGUAACAUAGAUUCAUCCUUGUGUCUAGUAAAUAAGAGGGAGAAUCUUUGUCACUAAGUGCAUUUAACAGCUCUUC
rnacentral:pre_miRNA from 1 species